rnacentral:rRNA from 1 species
CCUACGGGGUGCAGCAGUGAGGGAUAUUGGUCAAUGGGGGAAACCCUGAUGCAGCGACGCCGCGUGAGUGAAGACGUAAUUCGUUAUGUAAAGCUCUAUCAGCAGGGAAGAAAAUGACGGUACCUGAGUCAGAAGCCCCGGCUAACUACGUGCCAGCAGCCGCGGUAAUACGUAGGGGGCAAGCGUUAUCCGGAUUUACUGGGUGUAAAGGGAGCGUAGACGGCAGUGCAAGUCUGGAGUGAAAGGCGGGGGCUCAACCCCCGGACUGCUCUGGAAACUGUACGGCUGGAGUGCAGGAGAGGUAAGUGGAAUGCCUGGUGUAGCGGUGAAAUGCGUAGAUAUUAGGAGGAACACCAGUGGCGAAGGCGGCUUACUGGACUGUAACUGACGUUGAGGCUCGAAAGCGUGGGGAGCAAACAGGAUUAGAUACCCGGGUAGUC